UGUAAUAUGAAGACAAACAAACAAGAAAAUGAUUGCAAUGGUCUCCCCUAAGGAAACAAUUUAAAGUUUAGAUAUUAUUACUAGAAGGGGGGGAAAAAAAGACUAUACUGCACUAUACUCACCAUCUCUACAGUGAUUCAUAAGAUAUUUAUAAGGACAGAAAACACCAUUACAAGUACACACUAUAUGAACACUUACCACAUUUUAAAAAUCUCAUAUAUGCAUGUUCAGGAUACAAGAAGAUAAUAGAGGCUACAGCUUCACCAAUCUCUGUAGACAUAUGAUCCGCUCUCAUUAGAGUGUGAUUAUGAGUACUGUGAAUUGGGAACUCUUCAAAUGGUAUCAGCUAAGUGUAGUCUUAAAAUCAAUAGCUCUAAUUGGCUCACUUGCUACUUACCUAACCUGCAUGUAUCAGAAACUUCUGUACCUGCAGUGACCUAAAAAGUGCAGUGAGUAUUAUGGUUGCUUUCUCUUCAACUCUCUACUUCUUUGAUUCAAUGGC
rnacentral:lncRNA from 1 species